UCGAGUCCUUCAGUGUCUUAAUUAACAGAAUCCAUCUCGGGCGCCUUCGUCUUCCGCAGCGGUGUUAGGGCUUGUAAAGUUACACUUUGCUUUCAGUUUCGGUGAAAUAGAAUUACAUCGUAAGCAUCGUGCUUCUGCUUUUCGUUACGGAUCUCUAUAUUCUCAAUUGGAGCUCAUGGAUCAGAAAGCAGGAGAUGAUAGCAGCAGCGUGAAGAAAAUAAUUUCAGCAUGUGAUGUGGAGGCUUUAAAAAAGUGUUUGGAAGAGAAUAAGGGAGACUAUGUCAAAUGUCAUUCACAGAUUGAGGCUUUCAAAUCAUCAUGCUCACUCAAGAAACCAAACCCCUCUCUUGAUUCCGCUUCACGUUAGAUUAAAUUAGAUGGUUUGAUUUUGAAUUGUCAUUUCUGGCUUUUCCAUCUUUGGCUUAAGGGGACACACUAUCUAAUGAUAUUCAUAAGUUGUAUCAAUACUUAAUAAUCAUUGUGAAUGAAUAAUAUAUUCUCAAGUUGUGGCUUUCUACAAUUAUAAAUUUCAGGAGUUCUCAUUCAUAGCAGUGGUUAUUUAGGACGAGAAUCAACACUGUGCAGAAGGAUUCUGAUGCUGUUGCCACACUUUUGUGGCAUUGAAGUUUCCAUCUGCUUUGUUCCCUUGCAAAUGAAAUUAUAAUCUUUUCAAUGGUUACAAGACUUGCAGUGUUGAUAUGA